ACCUGGGUAGCUCAGUUGGGUAGAGCGUGGUGCUGAUAAUGCCAAGGUUGCAGGUUCGAUCCCUGUAUGGGGUA
rnacentral:tRNA from 1 species